CAACGGUGCUCCUUGGUAUUCACCCAAAGGAGUGAAAUAUUUAUGUUCACACAACCAAAGCACGUCUAUUCAUAACUGCCAAAACCUGGAAUCCCAGCAACUCGCAACGCUGAGGCGGGAGAAUCGCUUGAACCCAGGAGAGGGAGGUUGCAGUGAGCCGAGAUUGUGCCACUGCACUCCAGCCUUGGUGACAGUGAGACUUCGUCUCAAAACAAAACAAAACAAAAAACUUCCUCCCCUGCUAAGUCCCAAAAGCCAGGGCUGAGGGAGGCAAGGGGCCUCCAGGAAGGGACCCAGACACCCGCUAGGGCCUCAGACCGGGCACCCACCUUGGUUCUGGAAAUACACCAGUGCCAAAAUCAGGCUCCCUGGCAGAACAGCAAGUGGGACUUGGUCAGG
rnacentral:lncRNA from 1 species